rnacentral:lncRNA from 1 species
UGAAUUGGAGGUUGGUGGAUGUAGAUUUUUUAAGUGGUAUGUAAUAAAUUGUGCAACAGGGUGAAUGAAGUAAUACAUGAAUUACAUGAUAGCGAAAGAAAACUUGUUGUAAGACUCAAUUUUAGCCAGGGCCCAAAUACUUAAUUCUAGCCCAAAUACAAAUUAUAACCUAGUACCCAAAUAAAUUAACACCCCAAGCCCGAGUUUAAAUGCUGGCCCAAAAUACAAUUUUUGUCCUGAUUACACAAGCCCAAUGGCCCAAUUUUUUUUAGAAACAACAAACCCUAGCACUUAGAUCCUCCCUUUGGCCGACGUCGCCUCCACCUCCACGUACGCCCCCCGCACGACCCCUGGCUCGCGCGUUUCACGCCCCACGUCUGUGCGCUCCUCCUCCAUGUCUUCACGACCUGCGACCUGAGCGAGAAAAUAGCCAGAAACAACUUGUAUUCGGCUAUAAAGCCUUCAAAAUUCUCAUUGUAAAGGCCUUUGUUUUUCCUUUUCUUUUUCCAGAAAAAGAGAAUACAUAUCUAAAAACAACAAAUAUACAGAAAUCAACAAAAGCAGAAGAAUACAUUUCAAAGGUGGUUUAUCGCUAUUUCUAUUUUCCCCCCUUUAUUUUCUUUUGAAUCCGCAAUACAAAUACAAAAUAUAGGGGAGAGAGAAAGGGUCCCACCGGAGUUGUGCUCACAUUGUCGGCGGCCAUGGCGCGUCGGAUCUCCGACGAAAGUGGCACCGGUUGAAUAGGGGAGGAAAUGAGAGAAUGUUUCAAAGCUUUUAGGGUUUUUUUUUAAAAAAAUGUUAAAAUGUUUUUUUAGCAAAAAAAUGGUUUAAGUGAUACGAAUGAAACGGCG